rnacentral:rRNA from 1 species
ACAAGACCGCAUAGGCUCUCCUUUGUACGAGAAGGAGAGCAAAGCUCUCUCGCGAGGGAGGGCGCCUGGAGAGGGGCCUGUGGCCGAUUAGCUAGCUGGUGGGGUAAGAGCCUACCAGGGCGAUGAUCGGUAGCUGGUCUGAGAGGACGAGCAGGCACACUGGGAUUGAGAACGGCCCAGACUCCUACGGGGGGCAGCAGUGAGGAAUUUUCCGCAAUGGGCGCAAGCCUGACGGAGCAACGCCGCGUGCAGGAGGACGGCCUUCGGGUUGUAAACUGCUUUUUCUGGGGGACGAGCAAGGACGGUACCCCAGGAAGAAGCCCCGGCUCACUACGUGCCAGCAGCCGCGGUAAUACGUAGGGGGCGAGCGUUGUCCGGAGUUACUGGGCGUAAAGGGCCUGUAGGCGGUCCGGCGCGUGUCGGGUGCCAGCUGCUUGCUUAACGAGCAGAGGACCGGCCAGACGGCCGAACUGAGAGGGCCUCAGAGGGACAUCGAAUUCCGGGUGGAGUGGUGAAAUGCGUAGAGAUCCGGAGGAAGACCAAUGGCGAAGGCAGUGUCCUGGGAGGCGCCUGACGCUGAGGGGCGAAAGCCAGGGGAGCGAACG